rnacentral:lncRNA from 1 species
CAUACGAACUCCGUUUUCGACGUUCUUUAUAUCCACGCGAAGGUGAGACCACGCUCUACGACUUUCGUUUAGACUCCGUCGGCUAAUUUUGACUUUAUUUUUAUUAAUUAUUUUUAAUAGGCCGGGACAGAAACUUUCGUUAUAAAUUCAUAACUUCUUCGUUUGACGUCCGUUCUCGCCUAACUUUUUAUCGUUUCAAUACCAACAAUGAGAUCUUCGAUUCUCAUUUAGAUUGCUUCGGCUAACAACCGCUCGAUCUCAAAUCGAGUAAAACAGGCUGUAUAUCGCUAAGCCGGAACUUCGAUAAAUCAUAACUUCCUCAUACGAAGUCAGAUUUGGGCGUUCUAUAUAUAUUCGGAAACCUCGUUUCAACUACUACAACAUUAACCAAAGAUAUUAAGUUUAUUUUACACUUAAAUUUUGACGCUUAUUUUUAUUCUUAAUUAAUCAAACCACAUAAUUAAGCAAUUAAGCACAAAACACAUAAUACUCAAAUAAUACAAUCUUAUUAUUUCAAAACGGGUUACAAAGGUUAACCUAGACUAUUACAUUGCUAAAAAUGGCAAGCCCGGAAACACAGGCGUUACAAUUCUCUCCACCUUAGAAUGAUUCCGUCCCCGGAAUCACACAUCAACAAACAAAUGCGGAUAGCGACUCAACAUGUCACUCUCCGUCUCCCAGGUGAGAUUCGGCCCAUUCGUGUGUUUCCAUCGGACAAGCACUAACCCAACCAUUUUGCGUCGCAACUUCUUAGUCUUUCGGUCAACAAUUGCCUCUGGUUCUUCAAUCAACCUUUUGUUCUCAUCAAUUCUCAAUUCAGAAAUUGGAAUUAUAUCGGGAACUUCUCCCGUGAACUUCCUCAAAUAACACACAUGAAAGGUGUUGUGAAUUCCAUUCAGUUCUUCGGGUAAUUCGAGCUUGUAAGCUUGAUUCCCAAUCCUCUGAAGGACUUUAAACGGUCCAAUAAACCUUGGACUCAACUUUCCCCUUUUACCAAAUCUUAUAAGUCCCUUCCACGGCGAGACUUUAAGCAAAACCGAAUCUCCAACCUCAAAAGUCAUCGGUCUUCGCUUCUUGUCAGCAUAGCUCUUUUGACGAUCUUGAGCUGCUAACAUUCUUUCCCUAAUUAUUUUCAACUUUUCAGCAGUUUGAUGAACCAUCUCCGGUCCCAUAAACUGCUUUUCCCCAGCCUCAAGCCAACAAGACGGCGUACGACACUUCUGUCCAUACAAAGCUUGAUAAGGUGCCAUCUUAAUGCUCGAGUGAAAACUAUUAUUAUAGGAAAAUUCUACCAACGGUAAAUGUUCAUCCCAAUUACCUAGGAAUUCCAAGGUACAUGCUCUCAGCAUAUCUUCAAGUGUUUGUAUUGUUCUUUCACUCUGACCAUCAGUCUGCGGAUGGUAAGCUGUGCUUAAACAUAACUUGGUACCCAUUUCCUCUUGUAGACUUUUCCAAAACCUUGAGGUGAAACGGCUAUCACGAUCCGAUACAAUCGUUAACGGAACACCGUGAAGCCUCACAAUUUCCUUCACGUAAGAAUUCGCAAGCUUUUCCAUAGACCAUUUCUCCCUGGCCGCUAUGAAAUGCGCACUCUUAGUGAAUCGAUCAACGACCACCCAAAUCAUGUCGUGACCAUUCUUUGUUCUGGGCAGUUUAGUGACAAAAUCCAUAGCAAUGUCUUCCCACUUACCCAUAGGCACAGGCAAUGGUUCUAAACUCCCGUAAGGUUUCUGAUGUUGUGUCUUGACUCUCGCACAAGUCACACACUCGGCCACAUACUUUGCAACAUCAAGCUUCAUCGUCGGCCACCAGUAGUAGGGUUUCAGGUCCCUAUACAUUUUAGUGCUACCCGGAUGAAUUGAGUACAUGGUUUUGUGAGCUUCUUCCAUCAGAAGAUCCCUAAUUCCUCCUGACUUAGGUACCCAAAUACGAUCUUGGAAUACCUUCAGUCCAUGACCGUUAGUACCAAACACCAACGUUUUACCCAAACGUUCCUCCUUUCGGUCAUUUUUCUCAGAAGCUUCCUCUUGAGCUUUCUUUAUACUUUCCACAAUAGUCGAGACAACUUCAAUUCUCAACGCUCUUGGCCUCUUCCUUUCAAGAUUGACUUUCCGACUGAGAGCAUCAGCAACAACAUUAGCUUUACCGGGGUGGUAAAGUAUCUCGCAGUCGUAGUCUUUAAGUAAUUCUAGCCAGCGUCGUUGCCUCAUAUUCAAUUCUUUCUGAUUAAAGAGGUAUUGGAGACUCUUAUGAUCAGUGAAAAGUUUGCACUUCGUGCCAUAGAGGUAAUGCCUCCAUAUUUUCAGAGCGAAAACUACCGCUGCCAACUCCAAAUCAUGAGUCGGGUAAUUCUUUUCAUGCUCUUUCAGCUGUCGAGACGCAUAUGCUAUCACCUUUUCUCUUUGGGUCAAAACACAACCCAAUCCAACACCAGACGCAUCGCUAUAAACAGCGAAGUCUUCAACUCCAUCGGGUAGAGAAAGUAUCGGUGCCUCGCAUAGCUUCUUCUUUAACUUCUCGAAUGCUUCUUUAUGCUUCUCACUCCAAGCAUAAGUAGCUCCUUUGUGGGUCAAAGCUGUUAAUGGAGUAGCAAUCGAAGAAAAGCCUUGGAUAAACCUUCGGUAAUAUCCGGCUAAUCCUAAAAAGCUUCGAAUCUCCGUGGGACUUUUCGGUUGUUCCCACUUCGUCACAGCUUCGAUCUUCGCUGGAUCAACCAUUAUCCCUUCUUGGUUGACCACGUGACCCAAGAAUUGGACCUCACGAAUCCAAAAAUCACAUUUGGAGAACUUCGCAUAAAGCUUCUCCUUCUUCAAAACUUCUAACACUUCUCGCAAGUGUCUGCCAUGCUCCUCCUGGCUUUUCGAGUAGAUCAGAAUGUCGUCUAUGAACACUAUCACGGAUUUAUCAAGGAAAGGAUUACAAACCCUAUUCAUCAAAUCCAUGAACGCUGCUGGAGCAUUGGUUAGUCCAAACGACAUAACCAAGAACUCGUAGUGUCCAUAUCUAGUUCUGAAUGCAGUCUUCUCGAUAUCUUGCUCUCUUACUUUCAGCUGAUGAUAUCCUGACCUAAGAUCGAUCUUCGAGAAAUAGCUCGAACCUUGCAAUUGAUCAAACAGGUCAUCAAUCCUCGGCAACGGAUAUCUAUUCUUUAUUGUUGCCUUGUUCAGCUCUCUGUAAUCGAUGCACAUUCUCAUACUUCCAUCUUUCUUCUUUACAAAUAACACCGGAGCUCCCCAGGGCGAUGAACUAGGUCUAAUGAAACCUUUGUCCAAUAACUCCUGAAGUUGCAUCAUCAGCUCCUUCAUCUCCGUCGGUGCUAAUCGAUAAGGUGCUUUUGCUAUUGGCGUGGUUCCUGGUAACAAGUCUAUUCUGAACUCCACUUGUCUAUCAGGUGGUAAUCCAGGAAGAUCCUCGGGAAAUACUUCCGGAUAAUCACACACCACUGGAAUGCUCUGCAUCACCUUCUUUUCUUUCUUAGCAUCAAUCACGAAUGCUAAAUAUGAUGUACAUCCCUUGGUCAAACACUUUCUGGCUUUCAUUAGAGAAAUGAUUCCAGAAUUCACUCUGCGUUUGUCCCCAUACACCAUAAACGAAUCUUUCCCAGGCGGGUUUACUUUAACUAUCUUCUUCUUGCACAAAAUUUCGGCAUCAUUGGCGCUAAGCCAAUCCAUUCCCAAGACGAUGUCGAAACCAUUUAGUUCGAUAGGCAAUAAUUCCUCGAGAAACUUAUUCCCAUUAAGGUCGAUCAAGACGUUUUUCAUACGAUGGCUAACAGGUACAAACUUGCCACUAGCUACUUCGACUAAUAAAGCAUUAUCUAGUCUAUCAACAGGCAAAGCUAGCUUUCUACCAAACUCAUGCGAAAUAAAGGAGUAGUUGGCUCCAGAAUCAAACAAUAUAUGAGCAGGUAAUUCGUUUACGAGAAAGGUACCUGAAGCGACAUCAGCUUCAUCUUUCGCAGCCUCAAGUGUCAUCUGGAAGGCUCUCGCCUUCGGCUUUGGUGGAAUGUUGGGCCUAGCUGCCUCCUUCUUCUUCGGACAGUCUUUCAAAAUAUGCCCCUCUUCAUUACACCCAAAACACAUCCUUUUGUUGUUCGGACAUUCAUUGGCAAAAUGUCCAACCUUUCCACACUUGUAGCAGGUCACAUCCUCGCUACAUUUCCCAAAGUGCUUUUUCUUACACUUAUCACACCACUUUGCUUCGCCUCCUUUUCCUCCAAACUUUUUCGAAUCAGAUUUCGAAAAUUUGCUCUUCUUACUGGAACCAGAUGUUCCUUCAAACUUCCUUUUCUCACCAACCUCAACCUUGACGGUGGUUCUCCCCUUGAUCAUGUUCUCCACAGACUUGGCAGCCCAGAUAGCUGCCUCUAGAGUAAGUGCCUGACGUACCGGCACCUCGUACUCCCAUGGAAGUCCCUUCGCAUACCGAUCCACCUUUGUCAGCUCGUCUGGAACGAUACGCAAGGCAAACUCCAUCUUAUCGGUGAAGUUAUUGGUGUACUCAUCCACUGACAUGCUACCCUUCGUCAAUGUCAAAAACUUGUUCUCCAACUCCAACAGAUUUUGAGCCGAGCAGAACUUGCGCUUGAACUGCACCAAGAACUCUGCCCAUGACAAUUGCAGUGGCUCAUUAGGGCUUAAGGUCUUCCCUAGAGUGUUCCACCAACGAACGGCUCCACCUCGGAAUUGUCGCACGGCAUAGAUAGUCUGCAACUUGCCUCUACAGCCACAUGUCAUAAAGGCUAACUCCAUUUCGGAGAUCCAAUCCAUAACCCCAAUCGGAUCCUCCUUUCCAUUGAAGGUCGAUGGUUUACAAGUCAAAAAGUCCUUGUACUUGCAUCCCAUUCCAUCAUUCCUUCCAUCAUGGUUAUCUUGCCUAACUAUCGGUGGGUUGGCUGGACCAACAGACCCACUGAAGUUUCCACCUUCCGAGUGCCCUUCAUUCAGUUCAGGCUCUUCCACACGAAUCGACAGUUCUUCACGAUUUUGUUGAAGCAACCGUCUAGUUUCAUCCAUCUGACGAUCCAACAUCGUCUGAAUCAUCAAUUGCACACCAGCCAUGGUUAUUGGCUCAGGUGCUGCUGCUACGACAGGUAUUGGCUCAAUCACUGGUGGUUGAUUCCUGUUUUCGUCAGCAUUUCCAACUCCACUUCUUGUUCUCACCAUUUUGAUCUACACCGAAUAAGGUGAAAUUAGAUCCUCAAUCAUGAUAGAUAUUCAAAUCAUCCUUAUCACUCCGAAACGUUUACAUGCUAGUUCUAAUAUCGUAGACGUACGCUUAGAAUCCUACACACAUAAGGUUUCUAGAUCCGGUCGGCAACAGACCAUAGAUCCGAACAAAUAAUAUCAUAUAUGGCAACAUAUAACAUUUAGCACAUAAAGCAUUUUAGGCAACUUUCCUAAAAUAAACUAGUGCUCGUGUCUAAAUCACAACAGACACACAUCUCAAAACUUCACUUAGCAUUCUAAGUUUAAGUCUAGAAAUCCUACAAAUUCCUAGUUCGCUUAAACUAAUGCUCUGAUACCAACUGUGACAUCCCCAAAAUCUCGGCCAGAAAAGACCGAUUUUCAUUUAUGCUUUUAAAUAUUUUCAGAGUAAAUCCUUUUGAUUUGAAAGAGUUGCGGAAUUUGUUCCCAAAAACAAAACAUGAUAAAACAUUGUUUACCGAAGCAUUUCAUAAAAGAAAUGUAUUUUCAUUAUAAUCAAAACUCGGGGUGUCAUGUUCCGAUACAGACCAAUAAGCAUAAACGAAUACAUUACAAGUCAUAUAACAAAUAUAAACAUAUGCAGACUUGUAAACAAAACAACUUGAUGGUUCAUCCAUCUCAUGCCCUUCCGCCACUACCUGUAAUACAAUUUAAAACUGAGUGGGUCAGGCUUGGGAGCCUGGUGAGCAUAUAGGGUUUUCAACCCACAAUAAAUAUCAUAUUUAAUUUUCACCAACCAACAAUAACCCAAUUACCCAUUCCCGUUAUUCUCACUUUAAUGUCCCUAAAACAACUAACAUAAGGGACCUAGUCUAAGAAUAUUUCAUCGGGGCGACAACACAUGCUUCGGGGGUACCUCAGCAAUAUAAGUCAAAUAAGGCAACCAUGAGGGGGAUGGAGUACAGCGAAUGAACACCCAAGUUCAUUAACACCUACAGGUGGCGAACCUGCUAAUGUUUCCACAAGACUGUCUAGAAUAGCCAGUGGUCGUCAUCUAAACUCCGCUAGAUGACUCAAUCAAACAACAACGAGGCCUCUCAUCUGUUUAUUACACACCAACUGUCUACCCAUGUUCUACCCAACAUAUUAGUAGAUAAAAAUAUACAUUUGUAUACAUAGUUUAAAGAAAACCUGUAUAGCAUGCUUUAAUCAACACAUAUAUCACAUAACAGAUGAGGCACACACACACAUAACACAUAUCUCAUAAAGAAAUAAGCAGAUCUAUAAGAUAGAAGAGAGUGAAUACUCAUUCACACAUAACACAACCAAAUAUAUACACAUAGCACGUAUUUUUAUAUAAAAUACUUCGUAUUAUUGUAUUAGAAGAAAUAACUACACACUCACUUGAUCAGAAGAUGAUCGGACAGCACUACGGCUUAUAGAAGUAGUAAUCCUCAGCAGAUCUGGAAGAUCUCCUCGAAAAUCGAACUUCUCGCGGGCAGAGCUUCGACUCGGGAACCGCACUUUUCGGGAUCUUCGGGAUCUCGGGACUUGCCUCGGGGCUAGAGUAUGAUACCGGGACUUCGGGGUAGCUUCGGGGGUUUUUGCGCAGAGCUUCGACACGAAAACGAGAGGGAAUUGGCAAAAAUACCCGGAACCCUCGCAUCCUAUUUAUAGGAGGCUGGAGCCUCGGAGUACGCGGGGCGUACUGCGUUACGCGGGGCGUACUGCCCAAAACGUCAUUGCUUACGUAUCCGAAGUGCUCGAGUGCGAGUGUCGACAUCCCUCGGAGUACGCGGGGCGUACUCGAGUACGCGGGGCGUACCUCGGAUCAGAUCGGUGACUCCUUCGGAUAAUGCUUCCGAAUUUUGAAUUAAAUAUAAAUACAAAAUGAUUAAUAAACUUCGGAAAUUCAUAACUUCUUCAUACGAACUCCGUUUUCGACGUUCUUUAUAUCCACGGAAAGGUGAGACUACGCUCUACGACUUUCGUUUAGACUCCGUCGGCUAAUUUUGACUUUAUUUUUAUUAAUUAUUUUUAAUAGGCCGCGACAGAAACUUUCGUUAUAAAUUCAUAACUUCUUCGUUUGACGUCCGUUCUCGCCUAACUUUUUAUCGCUUCGAUACCAACAAUGAGAUCUUCGAUUCUCAUUUAGAUUGCUUCGGCUAACAACCGCUCGAUCUCAAAUCGAGUAAAACAGGCUGUAUACCGCUAAGCCGGAACUUCGAUAAAUCAUAACUUCCUUAUACGAAGUCAGAUUUGGGCGUUCUAUAUAUAUUCGGAAACCUCGUUUCAACUACUACAACAU